CGUGUAGGCGGUUUGGUAAGUCGGAUGUGAAAGCCCUCGGCUCAACCGAGGAAGUGCGUUCGAAACUGCUAAACUUGAGUACCUGAGGGGGUGGCGGAAUUCCCGAAGUAGAGGUGAAAUUCGUAGAUAUCGGGAGGAACACCAGUGGCGAAGGCGGCCACCUGGAAGGUAACUGACGCUGAGACGCGAAAGCGUGGGUAGCAAACAG
rnacentral:rRNA from 1 species